UUUUUGGAUAUGGUUUUGGUGCAAAAUUUGUGUCAUUUGGGGUUUAUAUGAAGAAGUUAUAGGCGCUCAAAGUUAAGGUGUAAGUUUUCGACGUACUGUCACUCUUUUGAGCAUACCGCACGCGUACGGACAGCAAUUGAGGAUCGGCGACCGGAUUUGAAGAGAGCACUUUUUCGGCUACAGUUUGUGCAUACUGUUUAUCGAAUUCCAAGCUUUUAUGAAGGAGAUAUUGGCAGUUGAAGUCAGCGCUUGAUAUCUAAGGGUAGUAAGUAGCCCGAAUUACUUGUGCUUGUGAUUUGAGCUAUAUCUUAGACAAUUUGAUGAGGUUUUAGCUCAAA
rnacentral:lncRNA from 1 species